ACUGGGGUGGGCGUGGCUCCCAGACGCUCAGGUCUGGAAGGGUCCUCCUCAAAGACUUUCGCAGCGUUUGGACUGUGACGUUCGCUUCAUCAUUAUCUCAUAAAAAUACCCUAAGACUGCUAGCUCACAUUGGCAGCUGUAGCCUGAGUGCACAGUAACUUAACCAGCAGCAUUAUCCGGUGCAAGCAGCAAAAGAGAUGUUUAAGGAAAGAAUCUGCUACGUGAAGGGGAGGAUGAGGCCAAGAAGACAUUGUCCCACGGAGGGAGAACCAGCUGAACCAAAAGGCAGCUCUGGGGGUGAUGGGUCCCAAAAUGCACCCUGAGCAGGUGCUGAAGCCCCGCCGGGUGAAAGAAGUCACCUGGAUGCUGCCCACCAGCACGUAGAUCCCAGACUGUGGGAACCAGAUGGUUGAUGAAGCUGACUCCCACUUACCUCGCCACCCAUCAAUCAGGGAAAUGCCAUGAGCUGAUCACACCCUGCUCCCCAAACACUAUAAGACUCCUCACUAUGCCCUCCAAGGGGGGUGGGCACAGUCCUUGAGGCACUAGCCUGCUGUGUUUCCCUCUUUGCCUGGCAAGUAAAGCCACUUCUUCUGUUUCCUCCAACUCUGUCUCUGAGUUUCUAUUUGGCAUCCAUGUACAGAGGCAACCAAAAUUUUGGCCGCAUGGCCUUGGCCACAGCCCCUGAGCAACUUUUAUUUAUUUAUUUAUUUUAUUUUUGCUUUCUAGGGCCACACCCAUGGCAUAUGGAAGUUCCCAGUCUAGGGGUCAAUAGAGCCACAGCUGCAAGUCUACACCACAACCACAGCAAUGCAGGGCUCCCGACAACAUUGUUUUAGAUGCUGUUAGAAGCUUUGCCUGACUACCACCAGGGCUAAGAAGUGAGCUCAGGACCUGGUUUCCUUACUACAAAAUCAAGCUACAUGUGGAAUGUUACAGCUCCCCUCAUCCCAACCUCUGCACCCAGGUUGGAAAUAGCAGGUGCUGUGUGUUAUAGUGAGCUGCAUGGCUCAGAACUUUCAGGCCAAAAUGGGGUGUUCCAUCCUCAUGGCAAAGACUUCAGUUGUAAGGUUUCUCACGGCCUGUGGAUUUUAGAGAAAAGAGUUUCUCAGCUCUAUGUCAUUGAUGUUAAAUAAUGCAAUUGGUUUUUAUGGUUCACAGUGGUAAUAAGAAUUAAGUGAGGUAAUACAUGCAAAGUUCCUCUUAAAUAAUAAGGGCUCAAUAAAUAAAUGGCAGGUGGUAGUAUCAUUGUUUGCAUUAGUAUCAUUCAUCCAGGUUUCUUGUAAAAUGAUCCUUUCCUUCUGCUGCAUGAGCUGCAGCCAGUUAAAAGUUGGACAGUUUUUAUUUCAAUCUUAGCCCACAAGGGAUUGCUCACUAAAGAAGCACCACAGGGGGUCCUGGUCUAGGAUUCCCAGUGUCUAACACUGCCCAGAGCCAAGAGUUCGCUCUUUUAAUUUUUAUUUUAUUUUAUUUAUACAGCCAUUCAACAAAGUCA